rnacentral:rRNA from 1 species
UACGUAGGGUGCGAGCGUUGUCCGGAUUUACUGGGCGUAAAGCGCACGUAGGCGGAUCUUUAAGUCAGGGGUGAAAUCCUGGAGCUCAACUCCAGAACUGCCUUUGAUACUGAGGACCUUGAGUUCGGGAGAGGUGAGUGGAACUGCGAGUGUAGAGGUGAAAUUCGUAGAUAUUCGCAAGAACACCAGUGGCGAAGGCGGCUCACUGGCCCGAUACUGACGCUGAGGUGCGAAAGCGUGGGGAGCAAACAGG